UUGAGUCAAUUUCCAUUCAUGUGGGGGAUUGUUGGAAAAUUUAAUAUUAACUAAUAUUGAUUUUCCUAUUUGAAUGGAAAUUAAUAAAAUCCAUUGGGUUAAAGACAUGGCUCUUGGGUUAAAGACAUCUUCACAUGGGGGGUGACAACUCUUCAAACCAAGGGAUGCAUUGUUUGGGGUGACAACUCUUCAGACCAAGGGAUGCAUUGUUUGCCUUUUCAGAUUAAGAUACCUUUUUAGAAAGGGUAUUUCAUCAUCUAUAAAUAGAGCAAUCCUCCUACAGUUUUAGAAAUUCAGUUUAAUCCUCUACAUACAGACCUUCACAUAUAGAAAGCAUUAGAGUCUUCAUAAAGAGAGGUUCC
rnacentral:lncRNA from 1 species